rnacentral:rRNA from 1 species
CACGUAGGAGGCGAGCGUUGUCCGGAAUCAUUGGGCGUAAAGAGCGCGCAGGCGGCUUGGCAAGUCGGGUGUGAAAUCCCGGGGCUCAACCCCGGGACUGCAUUCGAAACUGCCUCGCUAGAGUCCCGGAGAGGAAGGCGGAAUUCCCGGUGUAGAGGUGAAAUUCGUAGAUAUCGGGAGGAACACCAGCGGCGAAGGCGGCCUUCUGGACGGUGACUGACGCUGAGACGCGAAAGCGUGGGGAGCAAACAGG